UACGUAGGAUGCAAGCGUUGUCCGGAAUUAUUGGGCGUAAAGAGCGCGCAGGCGGUAUGACAAGUCAGAUGUGAAAGAGGCCGGCUUAACCGGCAAGGGUCAUUUGAAACUGUCAGACUAGAGUGCAGCAGAGGAUAGUGGAAUUCCCGGUGUAGUGGUGAAAUGCGUAGAUAUCGGGAGGAACACCAGUGGCGAAGGCGGCUCUCUGGGACGGUACUGACGCUGAGACGCGAAAGCGUGGGGAGCGAACAGG
rnacentral:rRNA from 1 species